ACCAGACUCCUACGGGAGGCAGCAGUGGGGAAUAUUGCACAAUGGGGGAAACCCUGAUGCAGCGACGCCGCGUGAGUGAAGAAGUAAUUCGUUAUGUAAAGCUCUAUCAGCAGGGAAGAAAAUGACGGUACCUGAGUAAGAAGCCCCGGCUAACUACGUGCCAGCAGCCGCGGUAAUACGUAGGGGGCAAGCGUUAUCCGGAUUUACUGGGUGUAAAGGGAGCGUAGACGGCAGCGCAAGUCUGGAGUGAAAUGCCGGGGCCCAACCCCGGAACUGCUUUGGAAACUGGCCGGCUGGAGUGCUGGAGAGGCAGGCGGAAUUCCUGGUGUAGCGGUGAAAUGCGUAGAUAUCAGGAGGAACACCGGUGGCGAAGGCGGCCUGCUGGACAGUAACUGACGUUGAGGCUCGAAAGCGUGGGGAGCAAACAGGAUUAGAUACCCCAGUAA
rnacentral:rRNA from 1 species